rnacentral:lncRNA from 1 species
AUAUGAACUCAUCUUACUUUUAGACUCUUCAUUACAGAUGAGACAUAAUCAGUGAGUAAAAAACCCUGAGGUCACGUGACCAACAAGUUGCAGAGAUAGAAUGUGAACCAGACAUUCUGGCUGCGGAAUUCUGGUCUGUUCUUAAUCACUAUUUCAUAUUUUAGCAUGUGUUUCUAGGUAUGUUUCCCCCAAUUAAAGCAAAGAAAUAAAAUGUGGAUUAUAAACUAGUAAUAAUGGUAAAUGGGGCAUGGAGACAAGUACAGUCUAUAUGCUUGUGGAGUUUAAAAAUAAAACAACACAGAUAUAUUUUACAUUAUUAAAUUAAAACUGUGUUAAGAUAAUGUUGAGGGAGGCAGAGCAAGAUGGCCGAAUAGGAACAGCUCCAGUCUCCAACUCCCAGCGUGAGGGACACAGAAGACCGGUGAUUUCUGCAUUUUCAACUGAGGUACUGGGUUCAUCUCACUGGGGAGUGCCGGACAAUCGGUGCUGGUCAGCUGCUGCAGCCCAACCAGCCAGAGCUGAAACAGGGCGAGGCAUUGCCUCACCUGGGAAGCGCAAGGGGGAAGGGAAUCCCUUUUCCUAGCCAGGGGAACUGAGACACACAACACCUGGAAAAUCGGGUAAUUCCCACCCCAAUACUGCGCUUUAAGCAAACAGGCACACCAGGAGAUCAUAUCCCACACCUGGCCGGGAGGGUCCCACACCCACGGAGCUUCCCUCAUUGCUAGCACAGCAGUCUGUGAUCUACCGGCAAGGCAGCAGCGAGGCUGGGGGAGGGGCGCCCGCCAUUGCUGAGGCUUAAGUAGGUAAACAAAGCCACUAGGAAGCUCGAACUGGGUGGAGCUCACAGCAGCUAAAGGAAACCUGCCUGUCUCUGUAGACUCCACCUCUGGGGACAGGGCACAGUAAACAAUAACAAACGCAGCAGAAAACUCUGCAGACACAAACGACUCUGUCUGACAGCUUUGAAGAGAGCAGUGGAUCUCCCAACACGGAGGCUGAGAUCUGAGAAGGGACAGACUCCCUGCUCAAGUGGGUCCCUGACACCUGAGCAGCCUAACUGGGAGACAUCCCCCACUAGGGGCAGUCUGACACCCCACACCUCACAGGGUGGAGUACACCCCUGAGAGGAAGCUUCCAAAGCAAGAAUCAGACAGGUACACUCGCUGUUCAGAAAUAUUCUAUCUUCUGCAGCCUCUGCUGCUGAUACCCAGGCAAACAGGGUCUGGAGUGGACCUCAAGCAAUCUCCAACAGACCUACAGCUGAGGGUCCUGACUGUUAGAAGGAAAACUAUCAAACAGGAAGGACGCCUACACCAAAACCCCAUCAGUACAUCACCAUCAUCAAAGACCAGAGGCAGAUAAAACCACAAAGAUGGGGAAAAGCAGGGCAGAAAAGCUGGAAAUUCAAAAAAUAAGAGCGCAUCUCCCCCGGCAAAGGAGCGCAGCUCAUCGCCAGCAACGGAUCAAAGAUGGACGGAGAAUGACUUUGACGAGAUGAGAGAAGAAGGCUUCAGUCCAUCAAAUUUCUCAGAGCUAAAGGAGGAAUUACAUACCCAGCGCAAAGAAACUAAAAAUCUAAAAAAAAAGUGGAAGAAUUGAUGGCUAGAAGUAAUUAAUGCAGAGAAGGUCAUAAAUGAAAUGAAAGAGAUGAAAACCAUGACACGAGAAAUACGUGACAAAUGCACAAGCUUCAGUAACCGACUCGAUCAACUGGAAGAAAGAGUAUCAGCGAUCGAGGAUCAAAUGAACGAAAUGAAG